CUACGGGAGGCUGCAGUGAGGAAUAUUGCACAAUGGGGGGAACCCUGAUGCAGCAACGCCGCGUGGAGGAUGACGCAUUUCGGUGUGUAAACUCCUUUUAUAUGUCAAGAAAAUGACGGUAGCAUAUGAAUAAGCACCGGCUAACUCCGUGCCAGCAGCCGCGGUAAUACGGAGGGUGCAAGCGUUACUCGGAAUCACUGGGCGUAAAGGACGCGUAGGCGGGCUUGUAAGUCAGGUGUGAAAUCCUACAGCUUAACUGUAGAACUGCACUUGAAACUACGAGCCUAGAGUAUGGGAGGGGGAGAUGGAAUUAGUGGUGUAGGGGUAAAAUCCGUAGAUAUCACUAGGAAUACCUAAAGCGAAGGCGAUCUCCUGGAACAUAACUGACGCUAAGGCGUGAAAGCGUGGGGAGCAAACAGGAUUAGAUACCCUUGUAGUC
rnacentral:rRNA from 1 species